AGAGUUUGAUUCUGGCUCAGGAUGAACGCUGGCGGCGUGCCUAAUACAUGCAAGUGAAACGGGUAUCUUCGGAUACCAGUCGCGGACGGGUGAGUAAUACAUAGGCAACCUGCCUUUAUGAGGGGGAUAACCGAGGGAAACUUUGGCUAAUACCGCAUGAAGACUCUAAGGCAUCUUAGAGGGAUAAAAGUUGGGAAACAACGCAUGAAGAUGGGCUUAUGGCGCAUUAGCUAGUUGGUGAGAUAGAAGCCCACCAAGGUAAUGAUGCGUAGCCGACCUGAGAGGGUGAACGGCCACAUUGGGACUGAGACACGGCCCAAACUCCUACGGGAGGCAGCAGUAGGGAAUUUUCGGCAAUGGGGGGAACCCUGACCGAGCAACGCCGCGUGAAGGAAGAAGGUUUUCGGAUUGUAAACUUCUGUUAUAAGGGAAGAACGGAUUGGAUAGGGAAUGAUCUGAUAGUGACGGUACCUUAUUAGAAAGCCACGGCUAACUACGUGCCAGCAGCCGC
rnacentral:rRNA from 1 species